UACGUAGGGGGCAAGCGUUGUCCGGAUUUAUUGGGCGUAAAGAGCGUGUAGGCGGCCUGAAAGGUCAGCUGUGAAAACUCGAGGCUCAACCUCGAGACGUCGGUUGAAACCAUCUGGCUAGAGUCCGGAAGAGGAGUGUGGAAUUCCCGGUGUAGCGGUGAAAUGCGCAGAUAUCGGGAAGAACACCCGUGGCGAAGGCGGCACUCUGGGACGGUACUAACGCUGAGACGCGAAAGCGUGGGGAGCGAACAGG
rnacentral:rRNA from 1 species